rnacentral:rRNA from 1 species
GACGAACGCUGGCGGCGUGCUUAACACAUGCAAGUCGAACGGAAAGGCCCUGCUUUUGUGGGGUGCUCGAGUGGCGAACGGGUGAGUAACACGUGAGUAACCUGCCCUUGACUUUGGGAUAACUUCAGGAAACUGGGGCUAAUACCGGAUAGGAGCUCCUGCUGCAUGGUGUGGGUUGGAAAGUUUCGGCGGUUGGGGAUGGACUCGCGGCUUAUCAGCUUGUUGGUGGGGUAGUGGCUUACCAAGGCUUUGACGGGUAGCCGGCCUGAGAGGGUGACCGGCCACAUUGGGACUGAGAUACGGCCCAGACUCCUACGGGAGGCAGCAGUGGGGAAUAUUGCACAAUGGGCGGAAGCCUGAUGCAGCAACGCCGCGUGCGGGAUGACGGCCUUCGGGUUGUAAACCGCUUUCGCCUGUGACGAAGCGUGAGUGACGGUAAUGUGUAAAGAAGCACCGGCUAACUACGUG